rnacentral:rRNA from 1 species
UACGUAGGGUCCGAGCGUUGUCCGGAAUUAUUGGGCGUAAAGGGCUCGUAGGCGGUUUGUCGCGUCGGGAGUGAAAACGCCGGGCUUAACCCGGUGCUUGCUUUCGAUACGAGCAAACUAGAGUGUUGCAGGGGAGACUGGAAUUCCUGGUGUAGCGGUGAAAUGCGCAGAUAUCAGGAGGAACACCGGUGGCGAAGGCGGGUCUCUGGGCCGAUACUGACGCUGAGGAGCGAAAGCGUGGGGAGCGAACAGG